GACGAACGCUGGCGGCGUGCUUAACACAUGCAAGUCGAACGGAAAGGCCCUGCUUUUGUGGGGUGCUCGAGUUGCGAACGGGUGAGUAACACGUGAGUAACCUGCCCUUGACUUUGGGAUAACUUCAGGAAACUGGGGCUAAUACCGGAUAGGAGCUCCUGCUGCAUGGUGGGGGUUGGAAAGUUUCGGCGGUUGGGGAUGGAUUCGCGGCUUAUCAGCUUGUUGGUGGGGUAGUGGCUUACCAAGGCUUUGACGGGUAGCCGGCCUGAGAGGGUGACCGGACACAUUAGGACUGAGAUGAGGCACAGACUCCUACGGGAGGCAGCAGUGGAGAAUAGUGCACAAUGGGCGGAAGCCUGAUGCAGCAACGCCGCGUGCGGGAUGACGGCCUUCGGGUUGUAAACCGCUUUCGCCUGUGACGAAGCGUGAGUGACGGUAAUGGGUAAAGAAGCACCGGCUAACUACGUG
rnacentral:rRNA from 1 species